GUAGGUGAACCUGCGGAAGGAUCAUUAACACGUAUCCACGUUUAUAACCCGAGAAUGUCUUAGGUAGCUUAUUCAAGGAAAGCUUCAUUAAGAUCUCAAAUCCUUUCGGGGCCUUGAGACCCUAAUAAAGUCUGUCCUAUUCUCAGCUUAGCGGCUGAGUUAGGACUAUUGAAUCUGCUCCUUCGAACUCCUUCAGGGACAAAUCUUCGGAGGCGUCCCUGAAGGCUACUUGAAACCCCUUUUUUUCUAAACUAAAGGCCGUCUCUUUGUGGACCGCUUUUAACCGAAUGCUGUACAACUCUUAGCAACGGAUAUCUUGGUUCUG
rnacentral:misc_RNA from 1 species